AGACUGAGGGCGAAACAGCAGGCAGGACUGGGUGGAGACGUUCGGGGACGUGGCAACUGGAGUUUCUUCUCCGUAUAUUUCGGCAUUCAGUUCCUUUUUUUUUUUGUUUUAACUCAGGAAAAAAUCUCAAUUGCGUUUAGUAUUUUGAAAGCCACUUUAUUGCUUCCCGAGCCUCAGUCAUGUGUGGUGGGAGGCUGCUGUGGGUGGCACCUGGGGCGUCCACGGCCGCCAAGGCGGGAGGACGUCAGGCCCUGCUUGCUCCCACCCCUUCCAGGUGAGAGCUCCCGGGCACGCCCGUCGUUGGCUCUUCGUCCUCUUGGUGUUCUUCCCUGUUGCUUCAAAUCAGGUUCCUGUCUCAAAAAUCCGAAAAAGAAAUCCUCCCAAAUGACUCUGUGCCCGACGCUCCGUUAAGGCAUCGUGCUAGGCGUUCUCAAACUCGUGAAAUGACUACACUGCACAGGUUAACCUCAUUGCUACUCUUCCCCUUGCCUCCUAAUUCUCUGGUUAAACUUCCGCCCCCGAGGUUUCUAGAAAUCCCUGAGCUGGAAUGCGCUGCCUUCAUUAAGAGGGUGUUCUGCUUCCGUCUGCUCACAUUCAUCUAGUAAGCCCUCUCGUUAAAGAGGAGGCAGCACACCGAGGCCUGUCUAGAACUUCUUUCAUUUAACCAACAGUGAAUAUCUAAUCUACAAGAAACUGGAGCCGUGGCAGUUUAGGAGCCUGCCAAGGUUGCAUCCCUGGGAGCUUAUUUUCUAUUGUGGGAGACAGGAAAAGAACAAGUGAAUCAACUGUGAAAUUAAAUAAUUCAAACUUAAAGCUGUUGGAACUUUAAAUUAUUCUGAGCCUUGCGAAGAAUGUGGCGAUGGGGCCUGAGUCCCAUGGCAUACAGCUGCAAUGUCUGCCUUGUUUUUUCCUAUAAUCAGGAAGACCAAACAGAGACAGAGGUAUUGCUGAUGCUGCUGGUACCUGGACCAAACUUUGAGAACCAUUUGAAUACAGAAGGAGUACCCUAAUAGCCUAACAAAAUUAAUCCAUCAUCUCUGAAUAAUGAUCAAUUAUAUUAGCGCACACACCAAGAAAGGCCAUGUGGGCACACAGCAAGAUGGUGCCUGUCUGCAAACUAGGAAAAGAGCCCUCACCAGGAACUGAAACAGCUGGCACCUUGAUGUUGGACUUUCCAGCCUCCACAACUGUGAGAGUGAUCAUGGCUGUGCAUUCCUACUGGUAACAGUACAAGUCUUGACCAGGAUUAUUCUGAGGUCCUGGAAGAGAGGAAACCUCUUAAUUAUCCCCAGGAUCAUUCGAUUGACUUCUUUCUUUCAUGGGCACAAUGGACUAAUUCAUUUAGUUUGUGAGGGUGAAGCACUAGUCUGGUUGACCAGUUCUUCCCAACAGGUUUGGACUCUAACUAAAUCAGGGAUAGCCUGCACAGCCUCCUCUAACCAUCUGUUCUUUGGACCACACACAUCUCUACAGAUGUGACUCCUGAAGUCUACUAUGCUUUCAGUUCAUGUGCCCCUGGGCCACAGGUAUCAGGCUGAAACUAUUCACUAAGGUUUCCAGUUCCAGGAACCUUUGUAUUUAGUACCAUAAAAUAGGAGGAGGUUCCAAGAUGGCCAAAUAGGAACAGCUACAGUCUACAGCUCCCAGCAUGAGUGACGCAGAAGACGGGUGAUUUCUGCAUUUCCAACUGAGGUACUGGGUUCAUCUCACUGGGGCUUAUUGGACAGCGGAUGCAGCCCACGGAGUGUGAGCUGAAGCAGGGUGGGGCAUCACCUCACCCGGAAAGCGCAAGGGGUCGCAGAAUUCCCUUUCCUAGCCAAGGGAAGCCGUGACAAGGGAAACCUGGAAAAUCAGGACACUCCCACUCUAAUACUGCACUUUUCCAACAGUCUUAGCAAAUGGCACACCAGGAGAUUAUAUCCCGUGCCUGGCUCAGAGGGUCCCAAACCCACAGAGCCUCGCUCACUGCUAACACGGCAGUCUGAGAUUGAACUGCAAGGCAGCAGCGAGGCUGGGGAAGGGGCAUCUGCCAUUGCUGAGGCUUGAGUAGGUACACAAAGCGGCCAGGAAGGGCCAACUGGGUGGAGCCCACCACAGCUCAAGGAGGCCUGCCUGCCUCUGUAGACUCCACCUGUGGGGGCAGGGCAUAGCUGAACAAAAGGCAGCAGAAACUUCUGCAGACUUAAACGUCCCUGUCUGACAGCUUUGAAGAGAGUAGUGGUUCUCCCAGCAUGGAGUUUGAGAUCUGAGAACAGACAGACUGCCUCCUCAAGUGGGUCCCUGACCCCCAAGUAGCCUAACUGGGAGACACCUCCCAGUAGGGGCCAACUGACACUUAAUACAGCUGGGUGCCCCUCUGAGACAAAGCUUCCAGAGGAAUGAUCAGGCAGCAACAUCUGCCAUUCUGCAAUAUUUGCUGUUCUGCAGCCUCCGCUGCUGAUACCCAGGCAAACAGAGUCUGGAGUGGACCUCCAGCAAACUCCAACAGACCUGCAGUUGAGGGUCCUGACUGUUAGAAAGAAAACUAAUGAACAGAAAGGACAUCCACACCAAAACCCCAUCUGUACGUUACCAUCAUCAAAGACCAAAGGUAGAUAAAACCACAAAGAUAGGGAGAAACCAGAGCAGAAAAGCUGAAAAUUCUAAAAAUCAGAGCACCUCUUCUAUUCCAGAGGAACGUAGCUCCUCAUCAGUAACGGAACAAAGCUGGAUGGAGAAUGACUUUGACGAGUUGAGAGAAGAAGGCUUCAGACGAUCGGUAAUAACUAAUAGCUAAAGGUGGAUGUUUGAACCCAUCACAAAGAAGCUAAAAACCUUGAAAAAAGAUUAGAUGAAUGGCUAACUAGAAUAAACAGUAUAGAGAAGACCUUAAAUGACUUGAUGGAGCUGAAAACCAUGGCAAGAGAACUAUGUGAUGCAUGCACAAGCUUCAGUAGCUGAUUCGAUGAAAUGGAAGAAAGGUAAUCAGUGAUUGAAGAUCAAAUUAAUGAAAUGAAGUGAGAAGAGACGUUUAGAGAAAAAAAGAGUGAAAAGAAAUGAACAAAGCCUCCAAGAAAUAUGGGACUAUGUCAAAAGACCAAAUCUACAUCUGAUUGGUGUACCUGAAAGUGACGGGGAGGAUGGAACCAAGUUGGAAAACAGUCUUCAGGAUAUUAUCCAGGAGAACUUCCCCAACCUACCAAGGCAAGCCAACAUAGAAAUUCAGGAAAUUCAGAGAACGCCACAAAGAUACUCCUCGAGAAGAGCAAUCCCAAGACACAUAAUUGUCAGAUUCACCAAAGUGGAAAUGGAGGAAAAAUGUUAAGGGCAGCCAGAAAGGUCAGGUUACCCAUAAAGGGAAGCCCAUCAAACUAAUAGCUGAUCUCUUGGCAGAAACUCUACAAGCCAGAAGAGAGUGGGGGCCAAUAUUCAACAUUCUUAAAGAAAAGAAUUUUCAACCCAGAAUUUCAUAUCCAGCCAAACUAAGCUUCAUAAGUGAAGGAGAAAUAAAAUCCUUUAUAGACAAACAAAUGCUGAGAGGUUUUGUCACUACCAGGCCUGUCUUACAGAGCUCCCGAAGGAAGCACUAAACAUGAAAAGGAACAACCGGUACCAGCCACUGCAAAAACAUGCCAAAUUGUAAAGACCAUCAAUGCUAGGAAGAAACUGCAUCAACUAAUGAACAAAAUAACCAGCUAACGUCAUGACAGGAUCAAAUUCACACAUAACAAUAUUAACCUUAAAUGUAAAUGGGCUAAAUGCUCCAAUUAAAAGACACAGACUGGCAACUUGGAUAAAGAGUCAAGACCCAUCAGUGUGCUGUAUUCAGGAAACCCAUCUCACAUGCAAAGACACACAUAGGCUCAAAAUAAAGGGAUGGAGGAAGACCUACCAAGCAAAUGGAAAACAAGAAAAAGGCAGGGGUUGCAAUCCUAGUCUUCGAUAAAACAGACUUUAAACCAACAAAGAUCAAAAGAGACAAAGAAGGCCAUUACAUAAUGGUAAAGGGAUCAAGUCAACAAGAACUAACUAUCCUAAAUAUAUAUGCACCCAAUACAGAAGCAUCCAGAUUCAUAAAGCAAGUCCUUAGAGACCUACAAAGAGACUUAGACUCACAUACAAUAAUGAUGGGAGACUUUAACACCCCACUGUCAACAUUAGACAGAUCAACGAGACAGAAAGUUAACAAGGAUAUCCAGGAAUUGAACUCAUCUCUGCACCAAGCAGACCUAAUAGAUAUCUGCAGAACUCUCCACCCCAAAUCGACAGAAUAUACAUUCUUCUCAGCACCACAUUGCACUUAUUCCAAAAUUGACCACAUAGUUGGAAGUAAACCAUUCCUCAGCAAAUGUAAAAGAACAGAAAUUAUAACAAACUGUCCCUCAGACCACAGUGCAGUCAAACUAGAACUCAGAAUUUAAAAACUCACUCAAAACCGCUCAACUACAUGGAAACUGAACAACCUGCUCCUGAAUGACUAUUGGGUACAUAACGAAAUGAAGGCAGAGAUAAAGAUGUUCUCUGAAACCAAUGGGAACAAAGACACAAUAUACCAGAAUCUCUGGCACACAUUUAAAGCAGUGUGUAGAGGGAAAUUUAUAGCACUAAAUGCCCACAAGAGAAAGCAGGAAAGAUCUAAAAUUGACACCCUAACAUCACAAUUAAAAUAACUAGAGAAGCAAGAGCAAACACAUUCAAAAGCUAGCAGAAGGCAAGAAAUAACUAAGAUCAGAGCGGAACUGAAAGAGAUAGAGAUACGAAAGACCCUUCAAAAAAAUCAGUGAAUCCAGGAGCUGGUUUUUUAAAAAGAUCAAUAAAAUAGAUAGAUAGAUAGACCGCUCAGACUAAUAAAAAAGAACAGAGAAGAAUCAAAUAGAUGCAAUAAAAAAUGAUAAAGGGAAUAUCACAACUGAUCCUACAGAAAUACAAACUACCAUCAGAGAAUACUAUAAACACCUCUAUGAAAAUAAACUAGAAAAUCUAGAAGAAAUGGAUAAAUUCCUCAACACAUAUGCCCUCCCAAGACUAAACCAGGAAGAAGUUGAAUCCCUGAAUAGAGGAAUAACAGACUCUGAAAUUGAGGCAAUAAUUAAUAGCCUACCAACCAAAAAAAGUCCAGGACCAGAUGGAUUCACAGCCGAAUUCUACCAGAGGUACAAAGAGGAGCUGGUACAAUUCCUUCUGAAACUAUUCGAAUCAACAGAAAAAGAGGGAAUCCUCCCUAAUUCAUUUUAUGAGGCCAACAUCAUCCUGAUACCAAAGCCUGGCAGAGACGCAACAAAAAAGCAAAUUUUAGACCAAUAUCCCUGAUGAACAUCGACGCAAAAAUCCUCAAUAAAAUACUGGCAAACCGAAUCCAGCAGCACAUCAAAAAGCUUAUCCACCAUGAUCAAGUUGGCUUCAUCCCUGGGAUGCAAGGCUGGUUCAGCAUACACAAAUCAAUAAACAUAGUCCAUCAUAUAAACAGAACCAAAGACAAAAACCACAUGAUUAUCUCAAUAGACACAGAAAAGGCCUUUGACAAAAUUCAGCAGCCCUUCAUGCUAAAAAUUCUUAAUAAACUAGGUAUUGAUGGGACAUAUCUCAAAAUAAUAGCUAUCUAUGACAAACCCACAGCCAAUAUCAUACUGAAUGGACAAAAACUGGAAGCAUUCCCUUUGAAAACUGGCACAAGACAGGGAUGCCCUCUCUCACCACUCCUAUUCAGCAUAGUGUUGGAAGUUCUGGCCAGGGCAGUCAGGUAAGACAAAGAAAUAAAGGGUAUUAAGUUAGGAAAAGAGAAAGUCAAAUUGUGCCUGUUUGCAGAUGACAUGAUUGUAUAUUUAGAAAACCCCAUCAUCUCAGCCCAAAAUAUCCUUAAGCUGAUAAGCAACUUCAGCAAAGUCUCAGGAUACAAAAUCAAUGUGCAAAAAUCACAAGCAUUCCUAUACACCAAUACCAGACAAACAGAGAGCCAAAUCAUGAGUGAACUUCCCAUUCACAAUUGCUUCAAAGAGAAUAAAAUACCUAGGAAUCCAACUUACAAGGGAUGUGAAGGACCUCUUCAAGGAGAACUACAAACCACUGCUCAAUGAAAUAAAAGAGGACACAAAGAAAUGGAAGGACAUUCCAUGCUCAUGGAUAGGAAGAAUCAAUAUCAUGAAAAUGGCCAUACUGCCCAAGGUAAUUUAUAGAUUCAAUGCCAUCCCCAUCAAGCUACCAAUGACUUUCUUCACAGAAUUGGAAAAAACUACUUUAAAGUUCAUGUGGAAUCAAAAAAGAGCCCUCAGUGCCAACGCAAUCCUAAGCCAAAAGAACAAAGCUGGAAGCAUUACGCUACCGGACUGCAAACUAUACUACAAGGCUACAGUAACCAAAACAGCAUGGUACUGGUACCAAAACAGAGAUAUAGACCAAUGGAACAGAACAGAGCCCUCAGAAAUAAUACCACACAUCUACAACCAUCUGAUCUUUGACAAACCUGACAAAAACAAGAAAUGGGGAAAGGUUUCCCUAUUUAAUAAAUAGUGCUGGGAAAACUGGUUAGCCAUAUGUGGAAAGCUGUAACUGGAUCCCUUCCUUACACCUUAUACAAAAAUUAAUUCAAGAUGGAUUAAAAACUUAAAUGUUAGACCUAAAACCAUAAAAACCCUAGAAGAAAACCUAGGCAAUACCAUUCAGGACAUAGGCAUGGGCAAGGACUUCAUGUCGAAAACACCAAAAGCAAUGACAACAAAAGCCAAAAUUGACAAAUGGGAUCUAAUUAAACUAAAGAGCUUCUGCACAGCAAAAGAAACUACCAUCAGAGUGAACAGGCAACCUACAGAAUGGGAGAAAAUUUUUACAAUCUUCCCAUCUGACAAAGGGCUAAUAUCCAGAAUCUACAAAGAACUUAAAACAAAUUAACAAGAAAAAAAUCAAACAGCCCCAUCAAAAAGUGGGCAAAGGAUAUGAACGGACACUUCUCAAAAGAAGACAUUUAUGCAGUCAACAGACACAUGAAUAAUGCUCAUCAGCACUGGCCAUCAGAGAAAUGCAAAUCAAAACCACAAUGAGAUACCAUCUCACACCAGUUAGAAUGACGAUCAUUAAAAAGUCAGGAAACAAAAGGUGCUGGAGAGGAUGUGGAGAAAUAGGAACACUUUUACACUGCUGGUGGUUCUGUAAACUAGUUCAGCCAUUGUGGAAGACAGUGUGGUGAUUCCUUAAGGAUCUAGAACUAGAAAUACCAUUUGAUCCAGCCAUCCCAUUACUGGGUAUAUACCCAAAGGAUUAUAAAGCAUGCUGCUAUAAAGACACCUGCAUAUGUAUGUUUAUUUCAGCACUAUUCACAAUAGCAAAGCCUUGGAACCAACCCAAAUGUCCAUCAAUGAUAGACUGGAUUAAGAAAAUGUGGCACAUAUACACCAUGGAAUACUAUGCAGCCAUAAAAAAGGAUGAGUUCUUGUCCUUUGUAGGGACAUGGAUGAAGCUGGAAACCAUCAUUCUCAGCAAACUAUCACAAGGACAGAAAACCAAACACUGCAUGUUCUCACUCAUAGGUGGGAAUUGAACAAUGAGAACACUUGGACACAGGGUGGGGAACAUCACACACCGGGGCCUGUGGUGGGGUGGGGAGAGAGAGGAAGGAUAGCAUUAGGAGUUAUACCUAUUGUAAAUGACGAGUUAAUGGGUGCAGCACACCAACAUGGCACAUGUAUACAUAUGUAACAAAUGUGUACGUUGUGCACAUGUACCCUAGAACUUAAAGUAUAAUAAUAAUAAAAAAAGAUAUAUACCAAAAAAAAUAUGAAACAAAGUCUCCUAUGUUGCUUGUUGUAUAAUUGUGCUGCUUUUGGAAGAGAGGAGUAACAUCGAGGGGACUAUAAAUGCCCACUACUUUUCUUGAAUAAUUUUGGUCUUUGUAAAUAUCCUUCAGGAUAUAGUUUAUAUUCUAAGCACACACAGUAGUCUUCCUGAUCCUUAGUGUAUGUGUUCCAGGACCCCUAGUGGAGCCUGAAACCACAGAUAAUACCAAGCCGUGUAUAGACUGUUCCUGUACACAUAUACCUGUGAUAAAUUUUGUUAUAAAUUAGAUGCUGUAAGAGAUUAACAACAAUAACUCACAAUAAAAUAGAACAAUUAUAACAAUACUCUGGUGCACAAUUUAAAACUUAUAAAUUGGCCAGUUCUGGAAUUUCCCAUUUAAUAUUUUCAGACUGCCAUUGACUGAGAGUAACUGAAACUCUCAGUUGGAAAGUGAACCUGUGGAUAAGGGAGGACUACUUUAUGUCUAUUCCAUAAAGCAGUACCUAUGUAGAGUAAUGUAGACAAACAUCUUACCUAAACAUAAUUUUAACAAACUUACCAAUGAAUCAGAGUAUGCCCCUUUGAUGCACAAACCAGUCAUUCGUUUUGAUGACAAGUAUUUUUUUCUUCUUGACUUGCAAAUGACACUUGGUUUCCCCAGAAAAGAUCAGAACUUCACGCAGAGCCACUCUGCCUCACAUGUGUUUGGAAAGCAGAGAAAAGCCCUGUUUGACAAGUUUUACCACAUUACAGCUUCAAGCACUGUCUGUCUCAGCAAAGAAAAGCUCUGGAUGGGAGCCAGGAAGCCCCAGUAUUGAAGCUUCAGACCAGCUCACAUGUUGUUGCACAUGAAGGAUUCCAGUCUGUGGAAGGGAUUAUUAACUGGAGAAAAUAAAUUACAUUCUCUCUGUGGGUCACUGUUUAACAUUCAAGAUGGGGGUUCCAAUGGAUCUAUUGGGAGAUCAGGGUCCCCUCUGUUCUUUGCACAGCAACUGUGAUGUGUUGAGACACACAGACACAUUCCACAUCCAUAAUUCUGGACUGUGAAGCAGCUGUUCCUCCAGUCUCAGGGCUCUUUUUCAGGGUAGGGAAGGAGCCUGAGUGGCCUGCAUGGAGAGGCUGUGUGGAAUGGACAGCUAGCUGCAUUCCUUAGCUGGAAAAGAAUUCUUAAAAAUCAGGGGAAAAAGAUACCAAUAUUUUGUGAAGAACAAUUGUAGAAGGUGUCGCUCUAAAAUUUCUCUUUACUAUACUUUUAAGUGAUUUUAAAAGGCUGUCAUAAAUGAGGAGUUAUUGUUUAAUGGGUACGGAGUUUCAGUUUUGGGAAAUGAAAAAAAAGCUCUGGAGAUGGAUGGUGGUGAUGGUUACACAAUGAUGUGAAUAGACUCAGUGCCACUGAAUUAGACACUUAAAAUGGUUAAAGUAUGUUAUGUGCAUUUUACCACCAAUUUUUUAAAAAGCUUGUCACAGAAGCCUUCUCUGUGUAAGUAGAAUCUGGCAAUGUCAGAAACUAACAUAAUUAAAAAAUAAGCGGGGAGGAGCCAAGAUGGCCGAAUAGGAACAGCUCUGGUCUACAGCUCCCAGCGUGAGCGAGGCAGAAGACGGGUGAUUUCUGCAUUUCCAUCUGAGGUACCGGGUGCAUCUCACUAGGGAGUGCCAGACAGUGGGGGCAGGCCAGUGGGUGUGCGCACCAUGCGCGAGCUGAAGCAGGGCGGGGCAUUGCCUCACCUGGGAAGCACAAGGGGUCAGGGAGUUCCCUUUCCAAGUCAAAGAAAGGGGUGAAGGACACACCUGGAAAAUCGGGUCACUCCCACCCGAAUAUUGCUCUUUUCAGACCGGCUUAAAAAACGGCGCACCACGAGACUAUAUCCCACACCUGGCUCGGAGGGUCCUACGCCCACGGAAUCUCGCUGAUUGCUAGCACAGCAGUCUGAGAUCAAACUGCAAGGCGCCAGCGAGGCUGGGGGAGGGGCGCCCGCCAUUGCCCAGGCUUGCUUAGGUAAACAAAGCAGCCGGGAAGCUCGAACUGGGUGGAGCCCACCACAGCUCAAGGAGGCCUGCCUGCCUCUGUAGGCUCCA
rnacentral:lncRNA from 1 species